AAGCGAUUAACUCAGUUGGUAGAGUGUCUUGCUUACAACGAGAAAGUCAGUGGUUCGAACCCACUAUCGCUUA
rnacentral:tRNA from 3 species